GCUGCUUGAGCAACAAGGGCUGAGCCCUUUCCCAUGAGAAAGAAUAAAGACUUUUUCUGAUCUCUGGAAAAAAAAAAGUGUUUGAGCUCUCACCUGUGUCUCCAAGAAACUGUAGCAUGUAAAGCAGCUCCAUCCCAGUAAAGCCAUUUCAGUAAAAAUGCUACAACAGGUGGAGGUUCACCUAUAGUCCUCAAACAAAUUGCUUCUUUCUAGUUGGAGGUUUCAGCAGACUAUUAUUUGACUCAACCACCCAUGGUCUAUUGGGAGGCUCUGCUGGUUCAGAGGUACUGUACUACUGGUUCACCCUUUGUUUGGGACACUGGGCUCUGCUAUGGGUAUCAGAGACACACAGCAACUGGAUAAAAUGGAUGCCUCAAUCCCAGCUUCUACUCAGAACUUAAUAAUCAAGCAUUUAAGGAGUGUCAAUUCAGAAUCAGAGGACCAAAGUUCAAAUUUAGACUGCAUUAUUUAAUAGCAGAAGUACUAAGAUUGAGGAUAAUUUCAUUGCUGUACUCCUUUCUUCCUUUCCCUAAAAUGCAAAGACCAUGAAACAGACUACACUCAGACUGGGUAGAUUAAUGAUCUAGCUCAUACCAGUAAUGUUUUGUUCUUGGAUAAUACUUAAAGAAAAUAAUACUAAUGUGAAUUUAGGGUCUAUUAUAAUGUCAGAUAAAUUGUGUUCUUGGCUUGGGCCAAGAAAAUGUCUGCUGUAUAAUUACCAAGAAAAGUGGUAGGUUUUUGUUUUUGUUUGUGGUUUUGAAAUGCUUUAAAAAAUAAAUCAGUUUCCAGGAACCAGCAAACAUGUUAAACUAGAAAGAAGGGUAGAAAAAGUAAUUUUUUCAAUCUAACAUCACCAAAUCAGCCUAAGGAAAAAUGACCAAUACAGGAACUGUGAAACAGGAAUGAGUAUACAAUGAAGACUAUGGCUAAGCCUGGAUUUCUGUCAUUUAACUUACUUGUCAACUCAGCAUUAGCACUCAAGCAGGGUUAGGCCCACAAUAAGGUCACUCUGUAUAUGUGUUACAUGAUUAUUAUUUUUUUUCCUCUCUUUCCUUUUUUCUUCAAUGGAAUAGAAAGAAUUGUGAUGGGAAGAAGUGGGAUAGGAAGAAGCAGAAGAGAAAAUAUGUGCUUGUGAACUAAAAAAUAAUUUUUAAAACAAAAUUUCUAUCAUUUAAAAUUUUAAUCUGCUACAAAUUAGUCUACUCAACAUGAGCCCUCACUUUGUAAGAAUUAACAUCAAGAAAAUGCAGCUAUUAUUUCUAUUGUAUUUGUUUUCUAGGACUUGAGACAUCUUUGCAGUUUCUAUGACUUUAAUCUUUCUUGUGUUUUAUUCCCAAAUCAUG